CAGUUUCUGCCCCACUUUGUAGCAAAAAUGUUUUAACCUUUCUUUUGAUAUAGUUCUAAUUGAUGAAGGCAGAAGUAUCGUAGUAUGGACUUAAAACAUGUUGCUUGAAUUGGGCUCUACCUUUCCUUGAAACUCAUAGGCCAUCAAUUCUGAGCUGCUCCUCAAUCAUCCUUACUGUAAAGCUUUUCACUUGGAAAAGUGUUCAAAUGUAAAGGUUAAUGUUGCCUGUGUUUGUAGGCUGUUAUAUUUCAGAAAGGAUUCGAGGUAAGUCAAGCUCAUACAAUGAGCCACGUAUUCAAUAUUUCUGAGGAGAGAAAAAUGUGUCUUUUCUCGUUACACUGGACA
rnacentral:lncRNA from 1 species